CCCCAAACCAAAAAAAGUACAAACAACCACCGGCAUUGUCGUCGCCAUCACCCACAUAAUGUCGGAUAAACCAUCAAAUCUUGACACCACCACCACCUCCUCAUCCCACUCUACAAACCCAUACCAAAAAAUAGUUUAAAUUCUUUGGUUCCAUCAUCUUCAUCCUUCAAAUUCUGAAUAAAUAUUACCACCAUUUUUCGAAACAUUAGUCGAUGAACUAUAUUUUCGCUGUCUUGAGUAGUCGUUGCCUCUUCCAGCACACAGUGUGGCUCGGCCCGCCUACAAAUAUAUGAAAAUGUUUCUUGAAUCUCAUUCUCAAGCGUACGAUAUUUUCCAGCCCCCAAAUUUCCUCACAAAAUGACUACGGUAAGCAAAAGACAAAACAGUGUCAGCUUCCCAUUACGCAUAAGCCUCUGGAUUUGCCACCUACGACGAGGGCUCAAGAAUCAAUCCAGCAAGAUGCUGAAUCUAGAUUAAAAUGGGUUCAAAAAAAGGAUUGUUUAAGCGAAAAUAGGUUUUUAAAAAAAGAAUUUUUGAAGUUGGUUACUAAAAAUGAAAUGGGUUUCUUGAACAGUGAGAUUGAGAGAGAAAGAUGAAAGGGGAAAAGGGUCGAGAAGGUGAAGAAUUGAUUUUCAGAUAGUGAAUAAUCAUUUGUAAUUAGUUACGAGGUGAUUGAUUACACUUAGUAAAGUGAUGGUGGAGGUUGUGGGAGGUGGCUGGUUGUGGUGGCAUUGUCUUGGUGUUU
rnacentral:lncRNA from 1 species